rfam:Candidatus Accumulibacter phosphatis clade IIA str. TW-1, complete genome.
GCUGGGGUUAGGUAACUGGCGUUGAAUACCGUGGAGAAGGCAGCAGAGGGCAUAGUAGGGUAGGCGACGGCGAGGAGUCAGAGAGCCAACCGAAGGCC